rnacentral:rRNA from 1 species
UUGUUUGUUUUUUUGAGCGUUCGGUGGAUGCCUUGGCAUCAGGGGCCGAUGAAGGACGUGGUGGCCUGCGAUAAGCCUCGGGGAGCCGGCUGACGGGCUGUGAUCCGAGGGUGUCCGAAUGGGGGGACCCGGCACGAGUUAUGUCGUGUCACUCGUACCUGAAUUCAUAGGGUGCGGGGGGUGACGCGGGGAAGUGAAACAUCUCAGUACCCGUAGGAGAAGAUAUUCCGUGAGUAGUGGCGAGCGAAAGCGGAUGAUGGUUAAACCGUGUGCGUGUGAUACCCGGCAGGGGUUGCGUGUGCGGUGUUGUGGGGCGUGUUCUUCCAUCCUCUGCCGGGGGUGGGCGCAGUGAGAAACUGGUGUGGUAGCUGAACCUCCUGGGAAGGGGGGCCGUAGUGGGUGAUAGCCCCGUAGGUGAAACCAUGCUGGCUGCGUGGGCGCGUUCCCGAGUAGCACGGGGCUCGUGGAAUCCUGUGUGAAUCUGCCAAGACCACUUGGCUGCCUGAAUACCUCCUGAUGACCGAUAGCGGAUAGUACCGUGAGGGAAUGGUGAAAAGUACCCCGGGAGGGGAGUGAAAUAGUACCUGAAACCGGGCGCUUACAAGCCGUCAGAGCCUUUCCUUUGUGGGGGUGAUGGCGUGCCUAUUGAAGAAUGAGCCUGCGAGUUAGCGCCGUGUCGCGAGGUUAACCCUUGGGGGGUAGCCGUAGCGAGAGCGAGUCUGAAAGGGCGAGUUAAGUGGCACGGUCUAGACCCGAAGCGGGGUGAUCUACCCAUGGCCAGGUUGAAGCACGUGUAAGAGCGUGUGGAGGACCGAACCCACCUAGGUUGAAAACUGGGGGGAUGAGCUGUGGGUAGGGGUGAAAGGCCAAUCAAACUCCGUGAUAGCUGGUUCUCCCCGAAAUGCAUUUAGGUGCAGCGUCUCGUGGUCCCCGGCGGAGGUAGAGCUACUGGGUGGCUGAUGGGCCCCACAGGGUUACUGACGUCAACCAAACUCCGAAUGCCGUUCGGGUUAUAGCGGGGCAGUGAGACAGCGGGGGAUAAGCUCCGUUGUCGAGAGGGAAACAGCCCAGAUCGCCGGCUAAGGCCCCUAAGCGUGUGCUAAGUGGGAAAGGAUGUGCGGUCGCGCAGACAACCAGGAGGUUGGCUUAGAAGCAGCCAUCCUUGAAAGAGUGCGUAAUAGCUCACUGGUCAAGUGAUCGUGCGCCGACAAUGUAGCGGGGCUCAAGCACACCGCCGAAGCCGCGGACCCAUCACGUGUUCCCUACCGGGUUUGUCCUGGUCAGGGGUGGUGGGUGGUAGGGGAGCGUCCUGCACCGGGUGAAGCCGCAGAGUGAUCUAGUGGUGGACGGUGCGGGAGUGAGAAUGCAGGCAUGAGUAGCGAUACUAGGGUGAGAAGCCCUAGCGCCGAAUGACCAAGGGUUCCAGGGCCAGGCUAGUCCGCCCUGGGUGAGUCGGGACCUAAGGCGAGGCCGACAGGCGUAGUCGAUGGAUGACGGGUUGAUAUUCCCGUACCGGCGAAGCACCGCCCAUGCUGACGCGCGGGUGCUAACCCACGCCCGGCACCACAAUCGCGCCUUCUGGUGGCUUCGGCUGCCUGUUGGUGUGGUGGUGUGGGGUCUGGGGACCCUCCGUGCAGGUAGGCAAGCGUGUUAACAGGGGUGACGCACAGUGGUAGCCUCCGCGGGCCUAAUGGCUUGGCCCGUUCAAGCGAGCAGCCCGACAGCCAGGCAAAUCCGGUUGUCUUCCUUUGAUGGUAAGGGUCAGACGUGAUGGUGACCUGCCCUUCUCGGGUGGGGAAGUAGGGUGAUCCUGGGGUGCCGAGAAAAGCCUCGACGCGAUGGUGCCAGCCGCCCGUACCCUAAACCGACACAGGUGGUCGGGCAGAGUAUGCCUAGGCGCACGAGUGAAUCAUGGUGAAGGAACUCGGCAAAAUGCCCCCGUAACUUCGGGAGAAGGGGGGCCCGAGCCUUGAAGCCCCUUUUUGCGGGCUAGGGGUGAGGGUCGCAGAGACCAGGGAGAAGCGACUGUUUACUAAAAACACAGGUCCGUGCGAAGCCGCAAGGCGAUGUAUACGGACUGACGCCUGCCCGGUGCUGGAAGGUUAAGAGGAACCGUCAACCCCCGUCGUGGGGUGAAGCGGUGAAUUUAAGCCCCAGUAAACGGCGGUGGUAACUAUAACCAUCCUAAGGUAGCGAAAUUCCUUGUCGGGUAAGUUCCGACCUGC